rnacentral:lncRNA from 1 species
UUAUUUUUGUUGCCUAGACUGAUUUUGAUCCAUCGGUUAUAUGGAUGAGGAUUUGUAGUACUUUUGAGGCAUUACAUGUCACCUUGACUUUUUGGACACCAUAAUUUUUGUGGUGGUUUUUGGUUUUGUGCAAUUAAGUUGCUAGUUUAAUUUGUGUAGUUAUUGUUAUUGUGUGGUUUAGUUUAAAUUCAAGUCAUUGGAGUUUUUUUUUUAAUUGUGUUUGUUCCAAGUUUGAUUGACUUGAAGAAACAAGGUUGUUGCUUCUAUGAUUGAUAGUGUUGCAUGCAAAUGUA